rnacentral:rRNA from 1 species
UACGGGAGGCAGCAGUGGGGAAUAUUGCACAAUGGGCGCAAGCCUGAUGCAGCCAUGCCGCGUGUAUGAAGAAGGCCUUCGGGUUGUAAAGUACUUUCAGUCGUGAGGAAGGUGUUAAGGUUAAUAACCUUAGCAAUUGACGUUAGCGACAGAAGAAGCACCGGCUAACUCCGUGCCAGCAGCCGCGGUAAUACGGAGGGUGCGAGCGUUAAUCGGAAUUACUGGGCGUAAAGGGCACGCAGGCGGUUAAUUAAGUUGGAUGUGAAAUCCCCGGGCUUAACCUGGGAAUGGCAUUCAAGACUGGUUAGCUAGAGUCUUGUAGAGGGGGUGAAUUCCAUGUGUAGCGGUGAAAUGCGUAGAGAUGUGGAGGAAUACCGGUGGCGAAGGCGGCCCCUGGGACAAAGACUGACGCUCAUGUGCGAAAGCGUGGGGAGCAAACAGGGAUUAGAUACC